rnacentral:tRNA from 1 species
GGAGGGUUGACCGAGUGGCCGAAGGUGAUGGUCUUGAAAACCAUUGUGUCCGCAAGGGCACCAAGGGUUCGAAUCCCUUACCCUCCG